UCAGCUACAGAAUGUUGAAUGUUUACAGCACCUCUAGUUAGAAAAUCAAGCUAUCAUCUCAUUAUACUUGCAACCAUAUAACACCUAACAAGGGCACAGCAAAGCAAGCCUCGUACUCCACUUCAGCCAGGCAGCCACAGACUAAAAUCACUCAUUCAGUUCAUUUGCGAGUAUAUAAUACCCUGAGUAUAUCCCUUCCACCGAAGUCAUGAAUAACACUGGUACCCACUGCUAUUGACAGCAGAACAUUAUCAAAUCAAUUCAAACAUAUCAAGUUUCAGCAGUUGAAAAGACAAGUCAUUACACCUUAUUCAUUGGGAUCCCACACAACGGUUCAGCAUUCCAGAAUGCUCCAUCAGAUUCAGACUAAAGCAGUACGGGCACAAACCGAGCGAAGACUCCUCGCAGCCCGGCCGAGGGAGCAGGCGCGCCGCUCAGAGGAACUUCCGGUACGGCCGGCCAGCGUCCUCGUCCUGCAUAUGCUGCAGCCAACCCCAGAUUCGAUCUUAGGGUUUGGACUUCGGAGAAUGGAAGAAUGAAACGCGGAAUGGCAGGGGGUUUGCAGAGGCAUUACGAAUUCGCGGACGAUGCCCUUGUAGACGAGGAUGGGGACGGCGAGGCCGAACAGCCCGACGACGGCGAGGCUGCGGCGGGUCCAGCGGAAGUUGAACUCGAGGUUCUCCCGGCCGGCGUUCCACUCCUCGAUCCACCGGUUCUUGUGCACCUCCAUGCCGCCACCCAUCUUCUCCUCCUCUCUUCCUUCGAUCCGCCGCGAUGCGAAAUGGGUGCUGGUUGCUAGCGAGACGGCGAGAGAGUGAUUUGGUUUGGAGGAUUUGGGGAAGACUGGCCUGCUUCUCCGGUUGGAGGAAGGGGAUUGCGCGUACCGCAGACGGAUCGCGGAGGCGUAUAGUUAGGAUUACACAAGGC
rnacentral:lncRNA from 1 species